UAAGGGAGCUUGACUGCGAGACCGACAGGUCGAGCAGGUACGAAAGUAGGUCUUAGUGAUCCGGUGGUUCAGCAUGGAAGGGCCAUCGCUCAACGGAUAAAAGGUACGCCGGGGAUAAAAGGCUUAUCUCCCCCAAGAGUUCACAUCGACGGGGAGGUUUGGCACCUCGAUGUCGGCUCAUCGCAUCCUGGGGCUGGAGCCGGUCCCAAGGGUUUGGCUGUUCGCCAAUUAAAGCGGUACGUGAGCUGGGUUUAGAACGUCGUGAGACAGUUCGGUCCCUAUCUGCUGUGGGCGUAGGAGAUUUGAGGAGAGCUGCUCCUAGUACGAGAGGACCGGAGUGGACGAACCCCUGGUGUUCCAGUUGUCGCGCCAGCGGCAUCGCUGGGUAGCUAUGUUCGGCAGGGAUAACCGCUGAAAGCAUCUAAGCGGGAAGCCCCCUCCAAGAUAAGAUCUCCCUCCUCUUCGGAGGCUAAAGGGCCCUUGAAGACUACAAGGUUGAUAGGCCGGGAGUGUACGCAUAGUGAUAUGUUUAGCUGACCGGUACUAAUCGCCCGUGAGGCUUGGUCAC
rnacentral:rRNA from 1 species